UUCUUCUUAUGCGAUCGAUGUGAUCGUUAGGUAGUCUGGUCAACUUCGUUAUCGGCGUCUUCUCUUUUUAAAGUUGUAUUUAAAUGGUUCAAAAUUAUUAUUUUUGUUUGUUUGUUAUAAACUUGGAACAUUAUUUCCCAAGUAAUGCAACGUAGUGUAGAUGUUGUGUUAUCAAUUUAAAGCAGUAUAUUUUUCUUUUCUUUUUUUUUAAGUUUGAAAAAAUGAAUCGAAAGGUAAACUAAUCUCAUUAUCUUAUGGCAAAUUAAAUGUCUACAUUUACUAACUAUAAUUAAGAACUUAAUAGGCUGUUUACCAACUCCAAAGUGGAUUUUCUUUUUACUGUAAAAAGUUAGUAUUUUGUUAGAUGAAUUUUAUUUAGUUAAAGGAAAAGAAUUGCGUUUGUUUAAAAAUCUAUAUUUAGAUUAUUCCUAUUUUGCAUGAACUGUGGGAAGGAAAAAAAUGAAAUACGUAAGAAGGAAGACAAAGGACAUAAAGAUCUUGAUGAAAUGCUCUCUCAUUGCUUUGACUUUGUUAAAGCACAAUCUCAAGAUGAGGGAGAGAUGAGUUAUCAUGUCCGACCAUGUUAGCUCUGAUUUUUUUUUUUUUUGUUGAUACAUCCGAACUAAAAAAGUAGAUGUCAAAAGAGUAUUUUAAACUUUUUUGGUAAACGUUAAUCUUUCUUUCAUGAUCUUACUUUUAAGGAAAUAGUCCCAACUUUACUUGAUAUUACAAUUCCUACUUUGACAAUACAGUAAAUAAAAUAUGGUCCAUACAAGAAGCGAGAAGUAUCUAACAGCUGAAUUACGACCCAUUUGCGUUAGAUUAGAUUAUAUAGCACAAGUCCAACAGUCUCUAAUCCUGUUUUCCUAUAUUUGUGAUUCUGUAUCAGGAUCAUGGCCGAAAGAUUUUUUUUUUAAGGAAUCUAAUUUACAAUUUUGAGACAAAUAACUAUCGGUGUUACAAAAAAAAAAAAGAAAAAAAAGAGACAAAUAACUAUCGUGGAAUUUUGAAAAAUGGUCGCAAAAUGAUUAUGUCAGACAGUCAUCCCCUAACAAGAUCAGUGCAUGUCAAUAUGAUUAGCCUGGCCCGAUCCAUCUUUUUUUUUUUGAACAACGGCCCGAUCCAUCUAAAAUAAACAAAACAUACAUAAUGUUUAGUCUUGGUUAAUUUGACUCGACUGUAUUCAGAUUUACAUCGUGAAAUCCAAUCUGAUUCGGACAUGGUUACAUGCUAAUGUAUAACGAUUUGGAUUUGAUAUUUUUUUACAAGCGUCAUUUUAAUGUAUGAGUCUCUUAAUUAUAUAGUAUAAAUGUAAUUAAAUUACAAAACAAAAUUUAUAACAUAAAGAAAAUUUCGAAUUUUCAUAAUUUUUGAUAAAUUUUCAAGUAAAAAAGCUCACUCUGCUCUUCUUUCAGUUUGUGGGUUUUAAUUAAUAAACUGUUUUGAUAAAUUAUUAAAAUUAAAUAUAC